rnacentral:rRNA from 1 species
UACGAAGGGGGCUAGCGUUGCUCGGGAUCACUGGGCGUAAAGGGUGCGUAGGCGGGUCUUUAAGUCAGGGGUGAAAUCCUGGAGCUCAACUCCAGAACUGCCUUUGAUACUGAAGAUCUUGAGUUCGGGAGAGGUGAGUGGAACUGCGAGUGUAGAGGUGAAAUUCGUAGAUAUUCGCAAGAACACCAGUGGCGAAGGCGGCUCACUGGCCCGAUACUGACGCUGAGGUGCGAAAGCGUGGGGAGCAAACAGG